rnacentral:rRNA from 1 species
AAUAGCGUAUAUUUAAGUUGUUGCAGUUAAAAAGCUCGUAGUUGGAUUUCGGGUGGGACGCAGCGGUCUCGCAUUGCGUUUGUACUGCUGCAGCCCUCCUUCUUGCCGGGGGCGGCCUCUCGGACUUCACUGUCUGGGGGUCAGAAUCGGCGAUGUUACUUUGAGUAAAUUAGAGUGUUCAAAGCAAGCUUACGCUCUGAAUAUAAUAGCAUGGGAUAACACGACAGGACUCUGGCCUAUCGUGUUGGUCUAUAGGACCAGAGUAAUGAUUAAGAGGGACAGUCGGGGGCAUUCGUAUUCCGUUGUCAGAGGUGAAAUUCUUGGAUUUACGGAAGACGAACAUCUGCGAAAGCAUUUGCCAAGGAUGUUUUCAUUGA